rnacentral:Y_RNA from 1 species
GGCUGGUCCAAGUACAGUGGCAUUUACAACUAAUUGAUCACAGACAGUUACAGAUUCCACUCCCACUGCUCCACUUCACGAGUAACA